CCUUACCCACCUUUGACAUGUACGGAACUUGCCAGAGAUGGCUUGGUGCUCGAAAGAGAACCGUAACACAGGUGCUGCAUGGCUGUCGUCAGCUCGUGUCGUGAGAUGUUGGGUUAAGUCCCGCAACGAGCGCAACCCUUGCCAUUAGUUGCUACGAAAGGGCACUCUAAUGGGACUGCCGGUGACAAACCGGAGGAAGGUGGGGAUGACGUCAAGUCCUCAUGGCCCUUAUAGGUGGGGCUACACACGUCAUACAAUGGCUGGUACAAAGGGUUGCCAACCCGCAGGGGGAGCUAAUCCCACAAAGCCAGUCGUAGUCCGGAUCGCAGUCUGCAACUCGACUGCGUGAAGUCGGAAUCGCUAGUAAUCGUGGAUCAGAAUGUCACGGUGAAUACGUUCCCGGGUCUUGUACACACCGCCCGUCACACCAUGGGAGCGGGUUCUGCCAGAAGUAGUUAGCCUAACCGCAAGGAGGGCGAUUACCACGGCAGGGUUCGCGACUGGGGUGAAGUCGUAACAAGGUAGGCGUAGUGCU
rnacentral:rRNA from 1 species